AAUUAUAUUAUUAUAUAUAUAUAUGUGUGUGUGUGUGUGUGUGUGUAUAUAUACACACACACACACACACAUAUAUAAAAUUAUUACACACU
rnacentral:miRNA from 1 species